CCUCUUUGCCUGACUAUGACAUCAGAACAUAAGAAGCAUCUGGGGAACAAGACAUGGAGGCCUUGCUGCUAGUGGAACCACAGCCGGCAGGCAGGAGACACUCAGCAAUGGUGAAUUAUCCUCUAACACAGUGGCUGCACUGCUAGGAACUUAACCUAAGAGGGAGAGAUACCAGGAGUACAUGUCCACAGAGAGAAGACCAUGUGAAGAGGCAGCAAGAGGGUGGCCAUCUGCACACCAAGGGGAGAUGCCUGGAACAGACUCUUCCAUUAUCGCCCUCAGAAGGAAACCAAUCCUGCUGACAAACUUGACCUGGGACUUCGCCUCCAGAACUGAGAAAUUUCUGCUGUUUAAGCCACCCAACAAAGUUCAAUGUGGCCACCGACCUGCCUUUUCAAAUUCAUCAUUGUUACGAUUUCAUGAAUUGUUUGAAGUCCAGGAGGGUGAGUUCCCAUGGCAAGUGAGUAUCCAGAUCUCACGGAAACACCUCUGUGGAGGCUCAAUCAUACAUCAGUGGUGGGUUUUGACAGCCGCACAUUGCUUCCCAAGAACCCUGUUAGAAAUGGCAUUGGGAAAUGUUACUGUGGUCAUGGGAACCAGAAUAUUCAGCGACGUCCGCUUGGAGAGAAAGCAAGUGCAGAAGAUAAUUAUUCACAAAGAUUAUAAACCAUCCCACCUUGACAGUGAUCUCUCCCUGCUCCUGCUUGCCACACCAGUAAAAUUCACUAACUUCAAAAUGCCCAUCUGCCUGCAGAAGAAGGAAAGGAUCUGGGACAGAUGUUGGAUGGCAGAGUGGGUGACAGCUUAUGAAUAUGGUUCUUUCAGAGCAUGGCUAUGGCUGAUCACUACUGACAUCCAGGAGAUACAAACUACUGGGAGGAUUACCACCAGCAGUACUUGAGCAUGAACCCCAAUGGUCACUGAGGAACGCCAGCUGAGGACACUGUGAGAAGUUGGCCAUGUGCAAGCCAGGAAGAGGGCCCUCACCAGGAACAGAAUAAUCUGGCACCUUGAUCUCAGACUUCCAGCCUCUAAAACUGGCUGGCCCUUGAGAUCACAGCAGAAACGCUUUCAACAAACUGGGCAAGUCUUUUGUGGUUCACAUCAGUGGCUUUCGAAGUGUACAAAGUAUAAAGUCGUUUUUAAAAGUCUGAUUUAAAAGUAUAAUUUAUAUUUAUUUAGUAAUUUCACUUUUUUAAGGUGUAUGGUAUUAAGAAUCCUGACAAAUACAGGGGCACCUAGGUGGCUCAGUAGGCUGAGUGUGCGACUCCUGAUUUCAGCUCAGGUCAAGAUCUCGUGGUUCAUGAGUUCGAGCCCAACAUCGGGCUCUGCACUGACAGCACAGAACCUGCUUGAGAUUCUCUCCCUAUCCUCCCUUCCCAGACUCUCUCUCUCUCUUUCUCUCACAAAAUAAAGAAAUAAAACUUAAAAAAAAAUUAAGAAUCCUGGGCGCCUGGGUGGCUCAGUCAGUUAAGCAUCAGACUUCGGCUCAGGUCAUGAUCUGACAUGCUGACAGCUCAGAGCCUGGAGCCUGCUUCAGAUUCACUGUCUCCCUCUCUCUCUGUCCCUACCUUACUUGCACCCUGUCUCUCUCUCAAAAUAAAUAAACACUAAAAAAAAUUUUAAGUUAAGAAUCCUGACAAAUACAAAUGUCUGUGUAAUCACUACCAUGAUGCAGACAUAGAAACUUCCUACCCGCCCCCCAAAUGUUCCCCAUGCUCCUGGGAACCCAUCCUCUUCCCCAAACCUCAGCUCCUGGCAAUAACUGAUGUAUUCUUUGUGCCUGUUGUUUGUCUUUUUAGAAUGCCAUCUAAAUGGCAUCAUACCGAAUGCAGUUGCUUUUCCACUUAGCAUAAUGUAU